rnacentral:lncRNA from 1 species
CAAGUUACUCAACAAUUUUAUUAACCCAUUCUACACACACACACACACAAAAAAAAACACAUUUCAAAUACAUUUAUACACCUUAUAAGGAUCUGAGUGCCAUAUUUUGACAUCAAUGUCACCAGAUUAAAUUAGAAUGCUGCUAAGGAUUUACAUUCCUUCUUUCAACAGAGCUGUGCCUGGGAAACCUGGAGGGCAGCUCUACUGGGUGCGGUUCCCAAUUCAGUCCAUUCCCGGCCCAUAACCCAGGGAGCAUCGUAACCCGGGGGUGCUCAGCCCGUUCCCAGCCCCUCCGAGGGCGCAGCUGGUGACCUAUCCUUUGAUUUUGCCACAGGAAAACUACCACCAUAUCAGAAUGAAUUGAUCUUGUUACUUCUUGUUACACAAGAAAAAAAUAUAUAUACACAAACAAUUCAGGUACAAAGAUCAAUGAGUCAUGGAUCCCCAGUGAAAGGCUUACUGAAAAAAAAUACUUUUGCCAAAAUUUCCUUUAAAUUGUUAUUAAUUAGACUAUGAUUUAGAGCCAAGCAGAUAGCAGACUAAAAACAGAAGCAUUACCCAAUGGAAUGCUACAGCCCAUGGCAAGGAGGCUG